rnacentral:lncRNA from 1 species
AAAAUAUUGUCUAAUAAUUACACUACACCUGACCAUUGAGGUCAUGGUAAAUUGGUUUGGUGCGAGAAAGGAAGGAAAAGUAAUUUUGGAAUAUCGUCAUUGACAACAGGAGAAGGCAAACACAACAGGUUAUUGUGUGGUAAGAUAAAGAACUAAGGACAAAUACUAGAAGUCAAACAAUAUCUAUCCAUUAUCUCGUUCUUCAAUAUUAAAGCUCCCAAGUUUUAGCUGAGCCUGUGAUUUUCAUUUGCAGGCUACAUUCCCACUUCCUUUGCAGUUUGUGUACUCGUGUGACUGAGUUCUGGACAAUAGGGCAUAACUGGAAAUAAAGAAUGCUAUUUGGUCAUGCCCAUAAAAAGAAUUGUACUUAUGCUUUCUUGCCUUCUUAUUCCCUGCUGUGGCAGGUGACGAGUACUUGACAAGACAGCAACUGUGGACCCAAAGAUGGAAGUCAUGUGUUUGGGACUAUAGAAUUACCUUCUAAUCCAGGCUCCUUACUUCUGGAGAGUUACAGGCCCUUGUACCUUGACACCUGUAGUAUUCCUUCUGAGGUUGUGCAUGGUAAUCUCUACAUCCAACGUGGGCUUGAACUCCUGACCAUGAGAUCAAAAAUUCCAUGCUCACAUGACCAAGCCAGCCAGACAUCCCAGAAGCAAUGCUUUUUAAUGUUGAGAUGCCAUUGGACAGUUUUGGAAGAUUCCACCUCUCUAUAACUAAUGAACUGUAUGACCCUGGGCUGGUGACAGACAAUAUUUUUGAAUCUCAGUUCUCUCAUAUGUGGAAGCAGU